GAUGAACGCUAGCUACAGGCUUAACACAUGCAAGUCGAGGGGAAACGACAUCGAAAGCUUGCUUUUGGUGGGCGUCGACCGGCGCACGGGUGAGUAACGCGUAUCCAACCUGCCCACCACUUGGGGAUAACCUUGCGAAAGUAAGACUAAUACCCAAUGAUAUCCCACGAAGGCAUCCGAAUGGGAUUAAAGAUUUAUCGGUGAUGGAUGGGGAUGCGUCUGAUUAGCUUGUUGGCGGGGUAACGGCCCACCAAGGCAACGAUCAGUAGGGGUUCUGAGAGGAAGGUCCCCCCACAUUGGAACUGAGACACGGUCCAAACUCCUACGGGAGGCAGCAGUGAGGAAUAUUGGUCAAUGGGCGAGAGCCUGAACCAGCCAAGUAGCGUGCAGGAUGACGGCCCUAUGGGUUGUAAACUGCUUUUAUAAGGGAAUAAGUGAGUCUCGUGAGACUUUUUGCAUGUACCUUAUGAAUAAGGACCGGCUAAUUCCGUGCCUAGCAGCCGCGGUAAACUAGU
rnacentral:rRNA from 1 species